GACGUAGGGAGCAAGCGUUGUCCGGAAUUACUGGGCGUAAAGAGCUCGUAGGCGGGAGCGUGCGUCUGACAGGAAAUCUCAGGGCUCAACUCUGGGGCUUUUUCAGAUACGGCGCUUCUUGAGUGUAACAGAGGAAAGCAGAAUUCCCGGUGUAGCGGUGAAAUGCGUAGAUAUCGGGAGGAAUACCAGUGGCGAAGGCGGCUUUCUGGGUUACCACUGACGCUGAGGAGCGAAAGCGUGGGGAGCAAACAGG
rnacentral:rRNA from 1 species